CCCGCACAAGCGGUGGAGCAUGUGGUUUAAUUCGAUGCAACGCGAAGAACCUUACCUGGCCUUGACAUAGUAGAGACUUUCCAGAGAUGGAUUGGUGCCUUCGGGAAUCUACAUACAGGUGCUGCAUGGCUGUCGUCAGCUCGUGCCGUGAGAUGUUGGGUUAAGUCCCGCAACGAGCGCAACCCUUUUCCUUACUUGCCAGCAUUUCGGAUGGGAACUUUAAGGAUACUGCCAGUGACAAACUGGAGGAAGGCGGGACGACGUCAAGUCAUCAUGGCCCUUACGGCCAGGGCUACACACGUGCUACAAUGGUCGGUACAAAGGGUUGCUACACAGCGAUGUGAUGCUAAUCUCAAAAAGCCGAUCGUAGUCCGGAUCGCAGUCUGCAACUCGACUGCGUGAAGUCGGAAUCGCUAGUAAUCGCGGAUCAGAAUGCCGCGGUGAAUACGUUCCCGGGCCUU
rnacentral:rRNA from 1 species